GCCCUGUUUUAAACAAAACAUGUCUUUUUGAUUUGAAAUUGUAAAGUCUGACCUGCCCACUGAUUAAAUUUGAAGGGCCGCGGUAUUUUGACCGUGCAAAGGUAGCAUAAUCAUUAGUCUUUUAAUUGAAGGCUGGAAUGAAUGGUUUAACGAGGUAUUAACUGUCUCAUUAUAAUUUUUUGAAUUUAACUUUUUAGUUAAAAGGCUAAAAUGGAAUUAUAGGACGAGAAGACCCUAUAGAGCUUUAUAUUUAUAUUUGAAAAUUAUUUUUGGUUUUUUGUUUUUAAUAAUUUUGAAGUAAAUUUAUUUGGUUGGGGUGACUUGAAGAUUUAUAAAACUCUUUAUGUAUAUAAACAUAGAUUUAUGGAAAAUUGAUCCAUUUAUAGUGAUUAAAAGAUUAAGUUACCUUAGGGAUAA
rnacentral:rRNA from 1 species